CCUACGGGAGGCUGCAGUGAGGAAUAUUGGUCAAUGGACGAGAGUCUGAACCAGCCAAGUAGCGUGAAGGAUGACUGCCCUAUGGGUUGUAAACUUCUUUUAUAUGGGAAUAAAAUGUUCCACGUGUGGAAUUUUGUAUGUACCAUAUGAUUCAGGAUCGGCUAACUCCGUGCCAGCAGCCGCGGUAAUACGGAGGAUCCGAGCGUUAUCCGGAUUUAUUGGGUUUAAAGGGAGCGUAGGUGGAUUGUUAAGUCAGUUGUGAAAGUUUGCGGCUCAACCGUAAAAUUGCAGUUGAAACUGGCAGUCUUGAGUACAGUAGAGGUAGGCGGAAUUCGUGGUGUAGCGGUGAAAUGCUUAGAUAUCACGAAGAACUCCGAUUGCGAAGGCAGCUUACUGGACUGCAACUGACACUGAGGCUCGAAAGUGUGGGUAUCAAACAGGAUUAGAUACCCCUGUAGUC
rnacentral:rRNA from 1 species